rnacentral:rRNA from 1 species
AAGAGACAGCAGUAGCCGCGGGAAUACAGAGGGUGCGAGCGUUAAUCGGAUUUACUGGGCGUAAAGCGUGCGUAGGCGGCUUCUUAAGUCGGAUGUGAAAUCCCUGAGCUUAACUUAGGAAUUGCAUUCGAUACUGGGAAGCUAGAGUAUGGGAGAGGAUGGUAGAAUUCCAGGUGUAGCGGUGAAAUGCGUAGAGAUCUGGAGGAAUACCGAUGGCGAAGGCAGCCAUCUGGCCUAAUACUGACGCUGAGGUACGAAAGCAUGGGGAGCAAAAAGGAUUAGAUACCCGAGAGUCCCUGUCUCUUAUACA